rnacentral:rRNA from 1 species
GACGAACGCUGGCGGCGUGCUUAACACAUGCAAGUCGAACGGAAAGGCCCUGCUUUUGUGGGGUGCUCGAGUGGCGAACGGGUGAGUAACACGUGAGUAACCUGCCCUUGACUUUGGGAUAACUUCAGGAAACUGGGGCUAAUACCGGAUAGGAGCUCCUGCUGCAUGGUGGGGGUUGGAAAGUUUCGGCGGUUGGGGAUGGACUCGCGGCUUAUCAGCUUGUUGGUGGGGUAGUGGCUUACCAAGGCUUUGACGGGUAGCCGGCCUGAGAGGGUGACCGGCCACAUUGGGACUGAGAUACGGCCCAGAAUCCUACGGGAGGCAGCAGUCGGGAACAUUGCACAAUGGGCGGAAGCCUGAUGCAGCAACGCCGCGUGCGGGAUGACGGCCUUCGGGUUGUAAACCGCUUUCGCCUGUGACGAAGCGUGAGUGACGGUAAUGGGUAAAGAAGCACCGGCUAACUACGUG